GGCAGUUGAGAUUCAGACCUUGACAGUUGUAACCGAUAGACUGGGCUGGGGCAACGCUGAUGAAAGGCAAAUUCCUGAGAGAAAAAUCACCCAGAUUUUUCAGUGCCUUCUCUAGCUUUCUAGAAGUUGUUAUGAGUGGACCUGACUACCUAGAGAGAGUAAUACAGAAGCUCCGUGCCGAUCACAGCUACCUCAUUACCAUGUUCCUCCAAGAUGGCCGCCCCUGAGGAGAAUCAUCAACUGGGCUUUACGGAAGAGAGAAAUCCAAACGACCAUCAGCAACAAAUGAAAGACUGAAGUUGAAAGGCAAGUCUUCAGAUUUGAAUUUCAAGAUUGUCAAGAAUGACGAGUUGGACUUGGUCUAGUUACUUCCACAGCAGCAGGAGGAACAUGUGUGUGACUCAGGAUAACUGGGGAAGCCUUGGCUAGGCUUUCCUCAUGUCAACCUACCACUCAAAGGGAGAAAACCUCCUGAUCAGAGGAAAUCCAUAAUUUUUGAAUGCUGGCCGAGGUCUGUGACCUCUGACUGAAUGGUUUCCAAGCUCCGAAUUCCUAGGUGAUGUUUUCAUUUGUUCACACUUGCUGAAGAAGGGAAAGGCUCUCUGAUUUACGUGUAAGCAAAACAAUCUAAACAGUAGGAUAAAAUCAUGUUGGAAUGGAGUUCUGUGUGGAUGCUCCUUUGAACCAAAUCAGUUCCACAACUGACCCUGUCAGGGACAUAUAAAUUUAGCAUUUUGGUGUGGAUACAGAAGACGAGAUUAACACAGAUCAAGUAACAUGGAAAUAAAAAAGGAGACAAUGCUGGAUGAUACAGGGGCAGCCAACAAGAGGAGAAAACCCAAGCAUUGGCAAAUGCCUCAUUAUCCAAAGAACACUCCUUAUACUCCUGAGAAUUUGUGGCAGUCCUGGGUUAAACGAUGAAGGCUUCUUAUUCUCAUGUAGGUCUCACAGCCUCUUGUCUCCCUGAGUUUUAAACACAUUGCAUUACCUUUCCAGAGGAGGUGUGGAGCAAAACUGUGUUGAAUGAACUGUAGAUGGAAAUUCUCUCCUUCCCACCGAGGAGCCGCUGCAGGUUGCAGACUCCCAGAAUGCCACACUGAGAAGAGGAGGGCUAAAAUUCUAGAGCAGAAUCCCUGGGGCAGCCCCUGCUGAAGAAGGGUGCAUCUGUUGAGAAUCUCAUCACCGCCCCCACCCCGCCCAGCCUUCAAUUUAGAGGAAUUUCUAGUUCACGCAGAAUGAAGACAAGAUCACAUAAGUGAGGACGACGCCCCAUUUACAAGUGUGAUUUGGAAGACUGAAGUGGAAACCUUGGGAAGGGGCCUCAGAGUAUGUCAGCUGGGGUCAGACGGGAACAGGAGUCUGGCUCAACACACAUUUAUUGCACUCCUGUUUCAUGCCAAGAAAUGUACCAAAAUCUGGGACUGUGUAACACAGCAAAGGAAAAGACUCAUCUCCAGGAAGCCCCCUUGUCUAGGAAGAGAAAUUGAAUAUCAGCAUAAGGUGGUGAAAAGCUGUGAAGGAGAUGAGUGCCAGGAGUCCAUGGAGGAAGGAUUCUAGCCUGGACAGAGUCUCCAUGAAUUGCAAGGGAAAACAAGUGGUACACUGGUAUUUCUAUUUGAUAACCUGUUCUCUUUGGAAUUCCGGUUAGAAAUCAAAGGCUUACUUGAGUUUUAAUGCUUUCGGGACUUCAAAUGCUUUUCUAUCUUCCUAAUAAUAUAUUAACAUUUUCUGAAGACAACAUAUAUGUGGAAAACAACAUUAUUUACUCAAAUAAUUUUUUUUGAAAAAUGGACCAAAAAAAAAGAAAAACCAACAAAAA
ensembl:lncRNA LINC01206 long intergenic non-protein coding RNA 1206